rnacentral:rRNA from 1 species
GAAUAUUGCACAAUGGGCGAAAGCCUGAUGCAGCAACGCCGCGUGAGCGAUGAAGGUCUUCGGAUCGUAAAGCUCUGUCCUCAAGGAAGAAUUUUGACGGUACUUGAGGAGGAAGCCCCGGCUAACUACGUGCCAGCAGCCGCGGUAAUACGUAGGGGGCUAGCGUUAUCCGGAAUUAUUGGGCGUAAAGGGUGCGUAGGCGGUCCUACAAGUCAGAGGUGAAAGGCUACGGCUCAACCGUAGUAAGCCUUUGAAACUGUAGGACUUGAGUGCAGGAGAGGAGAGUGGAAUUCCCAGUGUAGCGGUGAAAUGCGUAGAUAUUGGGAGGAACACCAGUUGCGAAGGCGGCUCUCUGGACUGUAACUGACGCUGAGGCACGAAAGCGUGGGGAGCGAACAGG